GAAGAACGCUGGCGGCGUGCUGAACACAUGCAAGUCGAACGAAGAGGCGAACGGGUGAGUAAUACGUGGGUAACCUGCGAUCCUUGUUGGGAUCAGCCUUGGAAACGGGGUCUAAUACCGAAUAAAGGGGGAUGGGCUCGCGGCCUGUCAGCUUGUUGGUGGGGUGAUGGCCGACCAAGGCGGUGACGGGUAGCCGGCCUGAGAUGGUGACCGGCCACAUUGUAACUGAGAUACGGCCCAGGCUCCUACGGCAGGCAGCAGUGGGGGAUAUUGCACAAUGUGCGAAAGCCGGCUGCCGCGACGCCGCGUGGGGGAUGAAUUCUUUCGGACUGUAAACCUCUUUCGCUAUUGAUCGGGUAGAUUGUUAUGCUGCGCCGGCUACCUGCGUGCUAGCAGCCGCGGUAAUAC
rnacentral:rRNA from 1 species